rnacentral:rRNA from 1 species
CCUACGGGUGGCAGCAGUGAGGAAUAUUGGUUAAUGGCCGCAAGGCUGAACCAGCCAAGCCGCGUGAGGGAAGAAGGUGCCAAGGAUUGUAAACUUCUUUUGUCAAGGAACAAAAUACGGCUCGCGAGCCUUACCGAGGGUACUUGAAGAAAAAGCAUCGGCUAACUCCGUGCCAGCAGCCGCGGUAAUACGGAGGAUGCGAGCGUUAUCCGGAUUUAUUGGGUUUAAAGGGUGCGUAGGCGGAAGAUUAAGUCAGCGGUAAAAGGCCGGGGCUCAACCUCGGCGAGCCGUUGAAACUGGCUGUCUUGAGAGGGCGAGAGGUAUGCGGAAUGCGCAGUGUAGCGGUGAAAUGCAUAGAUAUUGCGCAGAACUCCGAUUGCGAAGGCAGCAUACCGGCGGCGAACUGACGCUGAGGCACGAAAGUGUGGGUAUCGAACAGGAUUAGAUACCCGGGUAGUC